rnacentral:rRNA from 1 species
UCCUACGGGAGGCAGCAGUGGGGAAUUGUUCGCAAUGGGCGCAAGCCUGACGACGCAACGCCGCGUGGAGGAUGAAGACCUUCGGGUCGUAAACUCCUUUCGACCGAGAUGAAGAGCCUCCGACCUAAUACGUCGGAGGCCUGACAGUAUCGAGGGAAGAAGCACCGGCUAACUCCGUGCCAGCAGCCGCGGUAAUACGGAGGGUGCGAGCGUUGUCCGGAAUCAUUGGGCGUAAAGGGCGCGUAGGUGGCCUGGUCAGUUCGUGGUGAAAGCGCGGGGCUCAACCCCGCGUCGGCCAUGAAUACUGCGAGGCUGGAGCACUGUAGAGGCAGGCGGAAUUCCGGGUGUAGCGGUGGAAUGCGUAGAGAUCCGGAAGAACACCGGUGGCGAAGGCGGCGACCUGGUCCGAUACUGACGCUGAGGCGCGAAAGCGUGGGGAGCAAACAGGAUUAGAUACCCUGGUAGUCCACGCCGUAAACGAUGUGUGCUGGAUGUUGGGUGACCUAGUCACUCAGUGUCGUAGCUAACGCGAUAAGCACACCGCCUGGGGAGUACGGCCGCAAGGCUGAAACUCAAAGGAAUUGACGGGGGCCCGCACAAGCGGUGGAGCAUGUGGUUCAAUUCGACGCAACGCGAAGAACCUUACCUGGGCUCGAAAUGCGGAUGACCAUCGGUGAAAGCCGACUUCCGCAAGGACAUCUGUAUAGGUGCUGCAUGGCUGUCGUCAGCUCGUGUCGUGAGAUGUUGGGUUAAGUCCCGCAACGAGCGCAACCCUUGUUUCCUGUUGCCAUCACGUUAUGGUGGGCACUCUGGAGAGACUGCCGGUGACAAACCGGAGGAAGGUGGGGAUGACGUCAAGUCCUCAUGGCCCUUAUGUCCUGGGUUACACACGUGCUACAAUGGCGGUGACAGUGGGAAGCCAGGCAGCGAUGCCGAGCUGAUCCCAAAAAGCCGUCUCAGUUCAGAUUGCACUCUGCAACUCGGGUGCAUGAAGGUGGAUUCGCUAGUAAUCGCGGAUCAGCACGCCGCGGUGCUACCGUUUUAGGCCUGUACACACCGC